rnacentral:rRNA from 1 species
GGGGAAUAUUGGACAAUGGGCGAAAGCCUGAUCCAGCCAUGCCGCGUGAGUGAUGAAGGCCUUAGGGUUGUAAAGCUCUUUCAGUGGGGAUGAUAAUGACAGUACCCACAGAAGAAGCCCCGGCUAACUUCGUGCCAGCAGCCGCGGUAAUACGAAGGGGGCUAGCGUUGUUCGGAUUUACUGGGCGUAAAGCGCACGUAGGCGGAUUGUUAAGUUAGAGGUGAAAUCCUGGGGCUCAACUCCAGAACUGCCUUUAAUACUGGCAAUCUAGAGUCCGGAAGAGGUGAGUGGAACUCCUAGUGUAGAGGUGGAAUUCGUAGAUAUUAGGAAGAACACCAGUGGCGAAGGCGGCUCACUGGUCCGGUACUGACGCUGAGGUGCGAAAGCGUGGGGAGCAAAC